rnacentral:rRNA from 1 species
GACAGCAGCCGCCGCGGGAAUACGUAGGGUGCAAGCGUUAAUCGGAAUUACUGGGCGUAAAGCGUGCGCAGGCGGUUAUAUAAGACAGAUGUGAAAUCCCCGGGCUCAACCUGGGAACUGCAUUUGUGACUGUAUAGCUAGAGUACGGCAGAGGGGGAUGGAAUUCCGCGUGUAGCAGUGAAAUGCGUAGAUAUGCGGAGGAACACCGAUGGCGAAGGCAAUCCCCUGGGCCUGUACUGACGCUCAUGCACGAAAGCGUGGGGAGCAAACAGGAUUAGAUACCCCUGUAGUCCCUGUCUCUUAUAC